rnacentral:rRNA from 1 species
AACGAACGCUGGCGGCGUGGCUAAGACAUGCAAGUCGAACGGACUAUCCAAUUGAGUAAUCGAGCGGAUAGUUAGUGGCGUAAGGGUGAGUAAUAGAUAGGUAACGUACCCUAUGCUUCGGAAUAGUGUCAUUCGUCUUCGGGCGAAUUUCCGAAAGGGGCAGUAAUACCGGAUAAUAUCACUUGUCGAUAGGCAGGUGAUCAAAGAUUUAUCGGCACCGGAGCGGCCUAUCUCCUAUCAGCUUGUUGGUGAGGUAACGGCCCACCAAGGCUAUGACGGGUAACGGGACUGAGAGGUUGUUCCGUCACAUCGGGACUGAGACACUGCCCGGACCUCCACGGAGGGCUGCAGUAACGAAUAUUGCGCAAUGGGCGAAAGCCUGACGCAGCGACGCCGCGUGUAGGAGGAAGUCUCUCGGGAUGUAAACUACUGUCAGGGGUUAGAAAGUGCGUUUCGGCGUAU